rnacentral:rRNA from 1 species
UAAUACGUGCAGUUGAGCGCUGAAGGUUGGUACUUGUACCGACUGGUGAGCAGCGAAGGGUGAGUAAUGCGUGGGGAAUCUGCCUUUGAGCGGGGGACAACAUUCGGAAACGAAUGCUAAUACCGCAUAAAAACUUUAAACACAAGUUUUAAGUUUGAAAGAUGCAAUUGCAUCACUCAAAGAUGAUCCCGCGUUGUGUUAGCUAGUUGGUGAGGUAAAGGCUCACCAAGGCGGUGAUACAUAGCCGACCUGAGAGGGUGAUCGGCCACAUUGGGAUGUGAGACACGGCCCAAACUCCUACGGGAGGCAGCAGUAGGGAAUCUUCGGCAAUGGACGAAAGUCUGACCGAGCAACGCCGCCUGAGUGAAGAAGGUUUUCGGAUCGUAAAACUCUGUUGGUAGAGAAGAACGUUGAUGAGAGUGGAAAGCUCAUCAAG